UACGUAGGGGCCUAGCGUUGUCCGGAUUUAUUGGGCGUAAAGAGCUCGUAGGCGGUUCGGUAAGUCAGGUGUGAAAUCUCCACGCUCAACGUGGAGGGGCCACCUGAUACUGCCGUGACUCGAGUCCGGUAGGGGAGUGUGGAAUUCCCGGUGUAGCGGUGAAAUGCGCAGAUAUCAGGAGGAACACCAGCGGUGUAGACGGCUUUCUGGACCAUUGCUGACGCUGAGACACGAAAGCGUGGGUAGCAAACAGG
rnacentral:rRNA from 1 species